UGCAAGUCUUAGAAAAGUUGAAGAGAGGAAGUGAUGUUUUCCAAUUUUUCGACCAUUGCAGGAGAGCCCUCUGCAUUGUUGGCCUUGCAGAAUUCUGUAAGGGGUUUGCUAGCGUCAUUUGCCCCUUUCCAUACUCAAGCUUUGUAUGAAGCAUGCUUGCCACAUGCCAAGUGCGUGACGUCUGACCAGUUCAUGAGGUGCCCUUCACUGAAGACAUUCCAGAGCAGCAUGUCUUUUCAUUGUGGACAAGGAAGGUGUCUAGUAAACCUCUUAUUUGGUAUUAGAAGUUAGGUACAUUGGAGAUCUAAUGAGAAGCAUUGCUUAGUUGGAGCUGGUGACUGAUUUGCGCUUUCCAGAUCUCCUCUCCUGAAAUUCUCAAAGGCCCAGUAUUCCUUUUGGAUUUCCUGACCGUUGCAGGUGCCUUGGGUUACUGGUUGAUGGGAGAUGAAAUUUUGGGGAGUGAUGGUAAAGGUAUUGCUUCACCUCCAUGGGAUAUGAGAUUGUUUGCACUUUGCAGUUUAAGCAGAUUAGUCCUUUUGUUGCAUUUGUGAUCUGGCAACUGGGGCAAGUGAUAGAAGCAUCUGAGAUGCUUGAAACUAUCAUAGAUUAGAAACAUGGAAUUCUAAUUUAGUUGUUUCAAUUUGAAUUUAAAACUACAGUAACUGAAAUUCAGUCAUCUAAUCUUUAUUGAAUUUGAAUUUGAAUCUGAUUUUAUUCUCAUCUUUACCAUUUUUUUAUAUCCACUUGCAUGGACUAUUGAGUUGCUUCUUGUGUACCCUUUGAAAUGAUGAAGCAAGAAUCUGCAUUAUGUUUGUUGCCAUAA